GUAUGAUUGCCAAUGAGACAACUUUCCACCAAAGUUCAUAUUAAGUAGAUGUUAGCAAUAAGAGGUAACGGUACGACCUUCAACAAUGACAAAAGCCGAUACCUUAAAGUCGAUUAUGAAAGGCCAAGACAUAAAUAAAAAGUGAAACAAAUAAAUUGAGAAAAAUAACGGCAUAAUUCACAAAUCAAUUGGGAAAAACAAAAAUUAAUGACAUGAACCAUUACAACCACUAAAUUGCAGGUUCUAUACAAAAGACAGGCGCAUACAUAAUGUGGCGGGUUUAAACAUGUUUGUGAGCGCUCAACCUUCUAACAUAUGAACAAACUAUAGAAGCCAGUUGAAAAUGGCUUGUCUCAUCAGAUCGAUACAAACAGAAAAAAAACUAACUAAAACAUAGACCGGACGUGACAGAGUAUUUAUACAUCUCUUACAACAAAAUAUAAAAAAGUAGAGACCUAAGACUAUAUAUAUUGAUGUUUCAACUCAUGAUGGGGUUCAACUUGAUUUCUUAGACUUAGCCUUUUGAAUAUAUGUUUAGGCUACAACAGUGAACUAAUGGAAGAAAUAAAUGUCUAAAAAAACCGAAUGAUAUAAACAUACAACAAAAGUGCCUAACUAUAUAAGUUUAACAUAGAAAAGUAUACGACGUAUAAUUGAUUUUAAGACCGAGAAAUAUUUUCCAGUUAACAAACAUAUAUACA
rnacentral:lncRNA from 1 species